GCAUGUGUGCACGCCCAUGUAACCACCACCCAGAGCAAGAUACAUUUCCAGAAGGUUCCUCAUGCCCCUUCCAGGUACUCGCUAUUCUGACCUCUAUCAGCAUUGAUUAGCUUUUCCUGGGAGGAGCGGCGUGGAACCACUUAUCUCGCUGAGGCAAGGAGGAAGACAGGAGGAUUUCCGUGUGAGGAGGAGCUGCUCACGGCAACAUGGCAACAUCGGAGGGGGAGCCUCCACAGGCAGUGGGGAGGGAGCGUUCAUACGGCGCACGGUCCCACCGGGUCUCCGCACGCUACCGUGAGGUAGUCAGCGAAGCGAGGAGAGUUUGAAUCGGAUGCAGAAAGCCAUGUGCCCAAAGCGACACGGCAAGUUAGUGGUGGAUCCGGAGGCCUGGAGUCUCCUGGCGUCUUGAACUUCUUACAGAAGCCUGACAUAUACACAAAACUGAGAGUUUAGCUGGUGAAUUUUCACAAAGUAAUCAGACUCCUGAAGCCAGCGUCAGAUCAACAGGACACUGCCAGCCCCUCAGAAGCCCCUUCACAGCCCACAAAGAGGAGCCAUUCCCUGACUUCUAACAUCACAGGGGAAUAUUGGCCAGCAAUACCAGGGAAUGAAACACUGAUUAAACAUGGAUGAACCAUGAAAACAUGAUGCUAAGUGAAAGAAGGCUGUCACAGAAGACUUUGCAAGUUCUGGCUCAAGAUGGUGACGUAGAAGGAUCCUGAACUCUCCUCCUCCCAGACACUGGAUAUACUGGAUAUGCAGCUACUUACGGAACAAUUAGCUGAAUGACUCCCACACAUCAGGCGAAGGAGAAAAAAACCCACAUCGAAGCAAAUGAGGAAGUUGAGGCCCAGAGAGGACCGGCCCUGAGUCACAGAGCUGCAAGUGGAGGAGCCAGGACUCCGGACUGUCUGCAUUCCAAACUUGCUCUGUUGGUCUUUGAGUUUGCAACCCUUGACUUCCCGACCCCUUGCUGAAAGUUUCACAGAGGAAGACAAGAGAGCCGAGGAGGAAGAAAUAGUUGAUGACCCUUGUCACAUUGAAUCAAAUUGAUGAUGCUGGUUCCCCUGCUGCCCAGGAGCAAACCAUGGAGAGGAUGGGUUUUUUUCUGCAUAUCCUCAGUGCCUGGUGCAGAGCCAACCGAGGGAACUACGUGCCAAAUGAAUGAGGUGACCUGCCCUCUGUCACAGAGAGCCGGAUGCGAACCCAGGGCUCCCGCCUGCCUACCCAGGCCUCUUCCCCCAGACCUGGCUGCUGUCCAACCUACCCUGCAUCCCCUUGGAUACUGGUAGAGGUCAAGAGCACAGGCUCUGAGUCUAGCAUAUUCACACCCAAAUUCCAGCUUCCUCUUUCACCACUUCGAGCCUUGAUUUCUCCACCAGCAAAUGGGGCUAAUCAUGGAACCUACAUCAUAGGGCUGCUGGGGGUGGGGGGGGUGGGGAUCUCUAGAUGAAAUCCUAUGCCCGUGAAUAACAGCGACCAGCAUAAAAUAGGUGCUCAAUAAAUAGUAGCUACUAUUGUGACACAAAUUUUGCAUGAAUGUGUGCGGUAGGGAGGGGUUUACCUUUGUCUUGAAAUUCUUUCCUUAGGCAUCAUCUUGCCCUCUCUUAAUCCAAGGCAACCUGAGCCUGCACAGGGCUGGGACACAAGGUCAUGCUCAUUAAGCGCUUCCCAUAUACCUCAGAAGCUCGACAACAAUAACCUUAAUUGCCUACUUACAUCCUAUCAUUCCAACGUGUAGCAAGUGCCUACUUUCCCCCAGGCCCUGGGUCAGGGCUGGGGAUCCGGGAUAAAUUGACCCUGUCCUGCCUUUAUAGACUAUCCACCUGGCUGGUAAGGUUAGACAAGGUCACACAAUUCUCUGACACACAUACAAUGACAAGUCUUAUGGGAAGGUCACCUUCCCAGGUGCACUGCUGGACUACAUUUCCCAGCCUUCCCUGCAAUUCAGUAUGGCCCAUGAGGCAGCUGUGGGGAUUGAAUGUGGGCAGGAGUGAUGUGUGCACUUCGGAGCCCUUACACUCCUUAGUACUCUCUCCGCCCUAUGAAUGGCUGGAAUAAAGAUGAUCCUCAGGGCCACCUGAGACCCACAUGUCGUAGGACCAAGUAGAGAGUUGCCACCUGCUCACAACUGUUAUAUAAGCAAGGACUCUAUUUCUAGCCUAUUUGCUGGGUAUCUAUAACAUUCUAUGUGUAACAGUAGCUAGGGUUGCCCCAGCUGAUAAUCUGCCAUGAAAGCCUGGUUCUCGUCUCUGUAACUUUUCCCCUUCCCAGCUCUAACAAUCACAUCGGG